CCUACGGGUGGCUGCAGUGAGGAAUAUUGGUCAAUGGCCGUAAGGCUGAACCAGCCAAGUCGCGUGAAGGAAGAAGGAUCUAUGGUUUGUAAACUUCUUUUAUAGGGGAAUAAAGGUAUCCACGUGUGGAUAUUUGCAUGUACCCUAUGAAUAAGCAUCGGCUAACUCCGUGCCAGCAGCCGCGGUAAUACGGAGGAUGCGAGCGUUAUCCGGAUUUAUUGGGUUUAAAGGGUGCGCAGGCGGCCUGUUAAGUCAGCGGUAAAAGCCCGGGGCUCAACCCCGGCGAGCCGUUGAAACUGGCGGGCUGGAGUUGGAGAGAAGUACGCGGAAUGCGCGGUGUAGCGGUGAAAUGCUUAGAUAUCGCGCAGAACCCCGAUUGCGAAGGCAGCGUACCGGCUCCACACUGACGCUGAGGCACGAAAGCGUGGGUAUCGAACAGGAUUAGAUACCCCGGUAGUC
rnacentral:rRNA from 1 species